UACGGAGGGUGCAAGCGUUAUCCGGAUUCACUGGGUUUAAAGGGUGCGUAGGCGGGCAGGUAAGUCCGUGGUGAAAUCUCUGAGCUUAACUCAGAAACUGCCAUGGAUACUAUUUGUCUUGAAUAUUGUGGAGGUAAGCGGAAUAUGUCAUGUAGCGGUGAAAUGCUUAGAUAUGACAUAGAACACCAAUUGCGUAGGCAGCUUACUACACGAUCAUUGACGCUGAGGCACGAAAGCGUGGGGAUCAAACAGG
rnacentral:rRNA from 1 species